rnacentral:rRNA from 1 species
UCGAGAAUCUUCGGCAAUGGGCGAAAGCCUGACCGAGCGAUGCCGCGUGCGGGAUGAAGGCCUUCGGGUUGUAAACCGCUGUCAGUUGGGAGGAAGGGUCCGUGAAGAGCGGAUCUUGACCUAUCUUCAGAGGAAGUCCGGGCUAAGUUCGUGCCAGCAGCCGCGGUAACACGAACCGGACGAACGUUAUUCGGAAUUAUUGGGCUUAAAGGGUGCGUAGGCGGUGCGGUAAGUGAGGUGUGAAAUCCCACGGCUCAACCGUGGAACUGCGCUUCAAACUACCGUGCUAGAGGGAGACAGGGGUAAGCGGAACUGAUGGUGGAGCGGUGAAAUGCGUUGAUAUCAUCAGGAACACCAGUGGCGAAAGCGGCUUACUGGGUCUCUUCUGACGCUGAGGCACGAAAGCUAGGGUAGCGAACGGGAUUAGAUACCCCCGUAGUCC